GAUCCUGGCUCAGGAUGAACGCUGGCGGCAUGCCUAAGACAUGCAAGUCGUACGCGAAGGCCUAAUGAUUACUACGGAAGAUUGGAGAGCUUGCUCAAAGAUUGGAAGUAGUAAGAUUUAGAUCACCUUCGAGUGGCAAACGGGUGAGUAACACGUGGGUUACCUGCCUCUAGGUUGGGGAUAACGGUUGGAAACGAUCGAUAAUACCGAAUAUGCUCUACGGAGUAAAGAAAGCCCUUAAAGACUUCG
rnacentral:rRNA from 1 species